GCAUCUAUGGAGUAGAAGUUAACUCGUCCCUCUCCCAUUAUCGGGUUUGGGGAAAACCCGGGUGCAAGUCCCGGUAGAUGCA